rnacentral:rRNA from 1 species
GACGAACGCUGGCGGCGUGCUUAACACAUGCAAGUCGAACGGAAAGGCCCUGCUUGCAGGGUACUCGAGUGGCGAACGGGUGAGUAACACGUGGGUGAUCUGCCCUGCACUUCGGGAUAAGCCUGGGAAGCUGGGUCUAAUACCGGAUAGGAGCCAUUUUUAGUGUGAUGGUUGGAAAGUUUUUUCGGUGUAGGAUGAGCUCGCGGCCUAUCAGCUUGUUGGUGGGGUAAUGGCCUACCAAGGCGGCGACGGGUAGCCGGCCUGAGAGGGUGGACGGCCACAUUGGGACUGAGAUACGGCCCAGACUCCUACGGGAGGCAGCAGUGGGGAAGAUUGCACAAUGGGCGCAAGCCUGAUGCAGCGACGCCGCGUGGGGGAUGACGGCCUUCGGGUUGUAAACUCCUUUCGCUAGGGACGAAGCUUUUUGUGACGGUACCUAGAUAAGAAGCACCGGCUAACUACGUG